GAUGUGCAGGAACAGGAACUUUUAUUUAUUGCUGAUGGGAAUGCAAAAUCACACAGCUUUUUUUUUUUUUCUUUUUUUUUUUUUUUCAGCUUUCUUUUUCUUGGCGCAGACUCCCUGAUUAGUGUGGAACCUAUGUGUGGCUCGAUCCCAGGACCCGAGGCGAUGACCUGAGGGGAAACCAAGAGUGGUCACUCAACCGACUGAGCCACCCAGGCUCCCUUCUAUUAGGUUUGCAGUAAGCAUUGGCUACUGGCAAGACCCUCACAUCCAGCAUUUUGCAAGACUGUCUAAGGAGAGAAGGCUCCCGAAAUUAACAGAGGUUAUUUUGCUCGAGUCCAUGGCGUCAGUCAGCUUAUCAAGGCAUUUCUACGGAAGACAGAAUGUCACUGUCAGAUUCCUAAU
rnacentral:lncRNA from 1 species